rnacentral:rRNA from 1 species
UACAGAGGGUGCGAGCGUUAAUCGGAAUUACUGGGCGUAAAGCGUGCGUAGACGGUUAUGUAAGUUAGGUGUGAAAGCCCCGGGCUCAACCUGGGAAUUGCAUUUAAGACUGCAUAGCUAGGGUGCGGAAGAGGGAAGCGGAAUUUCCGGUGUAGCGGUGAAAUGCGUAGAUAUCGGGAGGAACAUCAGUGGCGAAAGCGGCUUCCUGGUCCAGCACCGACGUUCAGGCACGAAAGCGUGGGGAGCAAACAGG